GGAGCGAACGCUGGCGGCAGGCCUAACACAUGCAAGUCGAACGGACCCUUCGGGGUUAGUGACGGACGGGUGAGUAACACGUGGGAACGUGCCUUUAGGUUCGGAAUAGCUCCUGGAAACGGGUGGUAAUGCCGAAUGUGCCCUUCGGGGGAAAGAUUUAUCGCCUUUAGAGCGGCCCGCGUCUGAUUAGCUUGUUGGUGAGGUAAUGGCUCACCAAGGCUACGAUCAGUAGCUGGUCUGAGAGGAUGACCAGCCACAUUGGGACUGAGACACGGCCCAAACUCCUAACGGGAGGCAGCAGUGGGGAAUCUUGCGCAAGUGGGCGAAAGCCUGACGCAGCCAUGCCGCGUGUAUGAUGAAGGUCUUAAGGAUUAGUAAAACUACUUUACACCGGGUGAAGUAUAAUAGACUGUAGGCCGGAGAACGAACGCCCCGGACUAACCGUUCG
rnacentral:rRNA from 1 species